AGCCGCGGUAAUACGUAGGGGGCGAGCGUUAUCCGGAAUGAUUGGGCGUAAAGAGUGCGUAGGCGGUUUUGUAAGCGCCAGGGUGAAAGGCAAUAGCUCAACUAUUGUAAGCCCGGCGAACUGUGAGACUUGAGUGCAGGAGAGGGAAGCGGAAUUCCUAGUGUAGCGGUGAAAUGCGUAGAUAUUAGGAGGAACACCAGUGGCGAAGGCGGCUUCCUGGACUGUAACUGACGCUGAGGCACGAAAGCGUGGGUAGCGAACAGGAUUAGAUACCCUGGUAGUCCACGCCGUAAACGAUGAGCACUAGGUGUCGGGGUCGCAAGACUUCGGUGCCGCAGUUAACGCAUUAAGUGCUCCGCCUGGGGAGUACGCACGCAAGUGUGAAACUCAAAGGAAUUGACGGGGACCCGCACAAGCAGCGGAGCAUGUGGUUUAAUUCGAAGCAACGCGAAGAACCUUACCAAGGCUUGACAUCCCUCUGACAGACCCAUAACGGGGUUCUUCUUCGGACAGAGGAGACAGGUGGUGCAUGGCC
rnacentral:rRNA from 1 species